AACAUCUACAACAACYGAUCCAGACUYGUUGGCAGGCAGAAUCGAGGUUCUGGCUGCAAGCAUCAAAAGGCGAUCUCAACGUCUUUACAAAGACACAGACGGAAACAAAGCUCGUGCCAAGGCUCGUCGCAAAAUACAACAUGAGAAAAACAUUUUAGCAUUGGCUUUGGAAGAAUACAACAAGACUGUUGCAGGCACAGAAGCACUGUCUUUGGAAGACAUCCUGUCCGGCGACACAACAUUACCAUGGCAGCAAUCACACAGUGACUCUGUCAGUCUUUCCACAAAAAGAAGGGCAUUCGAUGGCCUCAUGAAAGUAAAGAGACUGGAAGAGGAAAAGAGGAUCCUUGUAGGAGAGAUGGACCAUCAUUGGAAAUCUCUGUUAUCCCAAGAAGACACUCUGAAGGACCUUUCCCACCUGUCAUCGAGAGGCAAAUUUAAAAGUUCGUCCUGUGCUCUAACCGAUGAAGGUCUAAGAGGUCUCCAUAGCAUCAUCCUCAGAGAGCUGCAGCACUUAAAACAGAUGAAGCUGCAGGCAAGAGAAUAUUAUCUACAGACUUUGUCUGGAGCAGAGAGUGUUAGCUUUGACGAUACUUCUGAUGAUGACUUUGAUAGUGACUCAGAAGCUUCUGAUAAUAGUUUGUAAUCAUUUCUGCAUGUACAGCUGACACAGACCUGCACUGGUGUGACAGUGUUCAGCUCCUUCUGAUUGACUGAUAUGUCACAUGUAAGGUUUGUUUGCUUAUAAAUCACCAAAACAUACCAUCCACUUUGUUGUUAUGCUUUCAUGUUUACAAAUUGGUAUUGUUUCAUUUUGUUUAUCCUUUUUCUUUAUAAAUAGUUAAUAUGUUUGUGCCUUUUUAUUUUCUACAAAGGCUUAAUAGAGCUGUGAUUACAUAGGCUGGCAUGUCAUUCUUUUUUUUUUCACUUUUGUUUCUGAGUGUCUACUGUAUUUACAUGUAAUAGUAAAAGUGAUUUUUCUGUAUGUAAUUGUUUUAUUUCCUAUUUUAACUAUAAAUGGAGUAAUAACUUUUGUGUUUCUGUUUAGCAGUUUAAAAAAUGACUACAAGACUACACUUAGCAGUCCCAGUGAUUCUGUACCAUCAUAACAGAAACAUAUUUCUGGAUGUUCUAAUUUUAUUUUCUUUUUUUAUGAACAUGUGCAGCUCUGUGUUAUUUCUGAAGUCAAUGAAAAAACAAAGUGUAUAGUGGUUUAACGAUUUCUUGUCUUUGGUGACAUCGGCGCUGUUCCAAUUUUUCUGACWAUUUCUGUAUUACAAAGAAAAAUGAGUAACAAAGUUUUAGUACUUGUCAGUGAUAAUUUAGUACUCAUGGUUCUGAUUUUUAAUGAAAUGCAUUUACACAAAAAUGGUCACGCAUGAUUUAAUAAACUAAAAUGGAUCUACCUUUGU